AGAGUUUGAUCCUGGCUCAGAAUGAACGCUGGCGGCGUGCCUAACACAUGCAAGUCGGAUGUGCCGCAAGGUGCAUGGCAGACGGGUGAGUAACGCGUAGGGAAUCUACCUUUUUGUGGGGAAUAACGCUCCGAAAGGAGUGGUAAUACUGCAUGAGACCGUGGCCUGGGAUGGUUACGGUGAAACCUGGGGACCGCAAGGCCUGGGGCAAAGAGAGGAUCCUGCGUCUGAUUAGCUAGUUGGCGGGGUAAUGGCCCACCAAGGCGACGAUCAGUAGCCGGCCUGAGAGGGUGAUCGGCCACACUGGAACUGAGACACGGUCCAGACUCCUACGGGAGGCAGCAGUGGGGAAUUUUGCGCAAUGGACGCAAGUCUGACCCAGCAACGCCGCGUGAAGGAUGAAUGUCGUAAGAUUGUAAACUUCUGUGAGAAGGGACGAAAAAACAGGCUCAUACCCUGUUCUGACGGUACCUUCAGAGGAAGCCCCGGCUAACUACGUGCCAGCAGCCGCGGUAAUACGUAGGGGGCUAGCGUUGUCCGGAUUUACUGGGUGUAAAGGGCGCGUAGGUGGACUUGUCAGUCAGAGGUGAAACCCUGCAGCUUAACUGCAGAACUGCCUUUGAUACUGCAAGCCUUGAGUCUAAAAGAGAAAAGCGGAAUUCCAGGUGUAGUGGUGAAAUACGUAGAUAUCUGGAAGAACACCAGUUGCGAAGGCGGCUUUUUGGUCUAGAACUGACACUGAGGCGCGAAAGCGUGGGUAGCAAACAGGAUUAGAUACCCUGGUAGUCC
rnacentral:rRNA from 1 species